UACGAAGGGGGCUAGCGUUGCUCGGAAUCACUGGGCGUAAAGCGCACGUAGGCGGACUCUUAAGUCAGGGGUGAAAUCCUGGAGCUCAACUCCAGAACUGCCUUUGAUACUGAGGAUCUUGAGUUCGGGAGAGGUGAGUGGAACUGCGAGUGUAGAGGUGAAAUUCGUAGAUAUUCGCAAGAACACCCAGUGGCGAAGGCGGCUCACUGGCCCGAUACUGACGCUGAGGCACGAAAGCGUGGGGAGCAAACAGGG
rnacentral:rRNA from 1 species